UAGCUUAAUAAUUGAGGACAUCUUCAAACAGAAGAAGUUGUGUUUUGUUCCACAAAUCGAUGAUGGUGUUCAAAUGAACAUGUUGCAAGUUCAUUCGCUUGAGGAUAUUAAGUCCCUUCCAAAUUAUAUUUGGGGGGUAAAAUCAAUAAAACAAC